UACGAAGGGGGCUAGCGUUGUUCGGAAUUACUGGGCGUAAAGCGCACGUAGGCGGAAUGUUAAGUCAGGGGUGAAAUCCCGGGGCUCAACCCCGGAACUGCCUUUGAUACUGGCAUUCUCGAGUCCGGAAGAGGUGAGUGGAAUUCCGAGUGUAGAGGUGAAAUUCGUAGAUAUUCGCAAGAACACCAGUGGCGAAGGCGGCUCACUGGCCCGGUACUGACGCUGAGGUGCGAAAGCGUGGGGAGCAAACAGG
rnacentral:rRNA from 1 species